UGAACGCUGGCGGCAUGCUUUACACAUGCAAGUCGAACGGUAACAGGUCUUCGGAUGCUGACGAGUGGCGAACGGGUGAGUAAUACAUCGGAACGUGCCUAGUAGUGGGGGAUAACUACUCGAAAGAGUAGCUAAUACCGCAUGAGAUCUACGGAUGAAAGCAGGGGACCUUCGGGCCUUGUGCUACUAGAGCGGCUGAUGGCAGAUUAGGUAGUUGGUGGGGUAAAGGCUUACCAAGCCUGCGAUCUGUAGCUGGUCUGAGAGGACGACCAGCCACACUGGGACUGAGACACGGCCCAGACUCCUACGGGAGGCAGCAGUGGGGAAUUUUGGACAAUGGGCGAAAGCCUGAUCCAGCAAUGCCGCGUGCAGGAUGAAGGCCCUCGGGUUGUAAACUGCUUUUGUACGGAACGAAAAGCCUGGGGCUAAUAUCCCCGGGUCAUGACGGUACCGUAAGAAUAAGCACCGGCUAACUACGUGCCAGCAGCCGCGGUAAUACGUAGGGUGCAAGCGUUAAUCGGAAUUACUGGGCGUAAAGCGUGCGCAGGCGGUUUUGUAAGACAGUGGUGAAAUCCCCGGGCUCAACCUGGGAACUGCCAUUGUGACUGCAAGGCUAGAGUGCGGCAGAGGGGGAUGGAAUUCCGCGUGUAGCAGUGAAAUGCGUAGAUAUGCGGAGGAACACCGAUGGCGAAGGCAAUCCCC
rnacentral:rRNA from 1 species